rnacentral:lncRNA from 1 species
CUUCAGGUUGUGUGUGUGGUGGCCUGGCAUUCAAUCUGUGAGGUGGAUGCGUGUUGGAAGGACCCCUUUUGGUUUCUUUUUGCUCAGAGCUUUCUUUUAAUAAAUUCCGCUCUCCUCACCUUUCAAUGUGUCCGUAUGCCUAAUUUUUCCUGGUCCUGUGACAAGAACCUGAUUUUAGCUGAACUAAGGAGCGAAAGAUCCUGGAUCAUUUUGGUGACCCAUACUGGUACAUGAGGAAAGACGCCACAAUCAAGAACUCAGAAGGGUAGAAGAAAAAGAUAGUUUCCCUUCCCUACACAGGUGUUGAUCCCUUCAUAAAUAUUAUGCAUGCUAAGCCCUAUCUCAAGGUCUACAUCCAGGAGAACCCAACCUGCAACAUUAAGUUACUGACUGUGCAAGAACCCUUUGAUCACGUACCUUACAGACCAAGAUAAGUGAGGAUGCCCAUGUAUAACCUGCUGUCUUUCUGGUCUCUUAUGUUUUUGUACCAGAAAGGGACAACUUUUUGGGUAACCAUAGGUCUCUAGUAUAUCUGUGAUUACAAUAAAGAUUUUUGAUAUACCAAAACUGAUGAACCAAAAUUCCACUGAAAUAGCGAGUAAAUGGAGUUCUUUUAUCCUUUGCAGUAUACCAGGGUGAACUUUUUACAUGAUUUCUUGCUCCAAAGGGAGAAGUGUUAUGACAAAGUACAUUUAAGGACCCUAACUGAUCACAGAAAAAAUAUUAAUGGCAUUGGGAAAAAAAUGCAGACUAAUGAAUCCACUACUAAAUUUUAUCUAUCUUGUAGCUCUAAAAUUGCACUGUUUAGAAUACACUAUGGUAGCCACUAGACAUAUGGCUACUUGAACUUGAAUUGGUUAAAAUCAAAAUUAAGAAUUUAAUUUCUCACUCACAUUAGCCACAUUUCAAGUGCUCAACAGACACAUGUGGCUAGUGUCUACCAUAUUGGACAGCAUAGAUUUAAAGCACAUUUCCAUCAUUGCAACACUGCAAUAUGGAGGAUGUAUCCUCAAUACAUUGAUAUUGCCCCCUCAAAAUUCAUAACCCCUAGAUAUCUUAUCUCUGUAUGUGAGGAUAGUGUAUUAACUUGCACCUGGACUGAGAUAGAUAAAUGCUUAUCUCCAGAGAUGUCUGAAAGUCUGGUACUGACCCUUGUCUAAGAUAAGGAUGGAAUGUGCUGGUUAAUGAUUUAUACUGUGCUAUACAAAGUCCAAAAUUCCUUUGGAGGUAUCCUCUGCUGGCUUGUCUACAUUGUUUAAGGAUGGAUAGGUUGAUGGUUUGCACCUGCUUUAAUCAUUUACACAUUCUGAUUUUAUUUGUGAUCAGUGGAGGAUAAAACCUUCAAUAAACUUGUGUCUUAGCUUCCUUGAUAUUAAGAUAUCUUGCACAUAUCUUAGAUUUUUAUAAUCUGAAUGCAAAGCACAUCCUUUGCAAUUGAGAAAGGACUCUGUGAGCUGCUCCUGGAUAUGUGAAACCCCUCAGUGACUGACCGUAUUUUCUUUCUUCUGCUGUACUUGCCCUUAUUAAAGCCUUACAUGUGAAGUAAGUCCUUUCAAUUGUCUGACUCCGGGUGAUUGUUAUACCCUUUGAUAUAGUUUGGAUAUUUGUGCCUUCCAAAUCUCAUGUUGAAAUGCGAUCCCCUAUGUUGGAGGUGGAGCCUAGUAGGAGGUGUUAGGGUCACGGGAAUGGAUCCCUGAUGAAUGGCUUGGUACACAGUAAUGAGUGAGUUUGUGCUUUAUUAGUUACUGUGAGAUUUACUUGGUAAAAAGAGCCUGGCAACUCCUCCCUCUCCCUUGCUCCCUCUCUUGCCAUGUGACAUGCUUGCUCCAGCUGCACCUUUUGCCACAAUUGUAAGCUUUGUGAGUCCCUCAACAGAAGCUGAGCAAAUGCUGGCACCAUGCUUCUUGUACAGCCUACAGAACUGUGAACCAAAUAAAACUUUUAUUUUUAUAAAUUAUC